UGGGGAUGACGUCAAGUCCUCAUGGCCCUUAUGGGUAGGGCUUCACACGUCAUACAAUGGCUGGUACAAAGGGUUGCCAACCCGCGAGGGGGAGCCAAUCCCAUAAAGCCAGUCGUAGUCCGGAUCGCAGUCUGCAACUCGACUGCGUGAAGUCGGAAUCGCUAGUAAUCGUGGAUCAGCAUGUCACGGUGAAUACGUUCCCGGGUCUU
rnacentral:rRNA from 1 species